AUACACAAGAAAAAUAAAUGAUAAAUGAAGGAAAUGCCUUUGUCUUAUUGUUAUGAGCCUCAUUUAAAGAGAGAUCAGUAAAUUUAUCCCUAUUUGUUCUGGAGUAAACAAUCAAGUUUCAAGAGAGAUCAGUAAAUUUAUCGACAAAUAUGAUGUCACUCUCGAUGUCUGCUCAUCAUCCGUUGGUUCACAAGCACAGGUUCUUAAUCAAUUGGUAGGCCUAGAUCUCCAGCUCUCCUAUACUUGUUUGUUUCUUUAUCUUUAGGAAACUCUUGUUUUCCUCUUCUUUUACUGUGUUAAUCAGUCUUGGCUCCAUCUAUAUCAAUCUUCAUUUACAGCAA